rnacentral:rRNA from 1 species
AUUGAACGCUGGCGGCAGGCUUAACACAUGCAAGUCGAGCGGAGAUGAGGUGCUUGCACCUUAUCUUAGCGGCGGACGGGUGAGUAAUGCUUAGGAAUCUGCCUAUUAGUGGGGGACAACAUUCCGAAAGGAAUGCUAAUACCGCAUACGUCCUACGGGAGAAAGCAGGGGAUCUUCGGACCUUGCGCUAAUAGAUGAGCCUAAGUCGGAUUAGCUAGUUGGUGGGUAAAGGCCUACCAAGGCGACGAUCUGUAGCGGGUCUGAGAGGAUGAUCCGCCACACUGGGACUGAGAUACGGCCCAGACUCCUACGGGAGGCAGCAGUGGGGAAUAUUGGACAAUGGGGGGAACCCUGAUCCAGCCAUGCCGCGUGUGUGAAGAAGGCCUUAUGGUUGUAAAGCACUUUAAGCGAGGAGGAGGCUACUGAGACUAAUACUCUUGGAUAGUGGACGUUACUCGCAGAAUAAGCACCGGCUAACUCUGUGCCAGCAGCCGCGGUAAAAC